ensembl:lncRNA
GAGCAAUGGGGCAAAAUCAUUGCUUUUUGGGAAUAAUGGGGAUAUACAUAUUUAUAACCAAAUAAAAUACAACAGAUACGUACAUCAAAACAAACAAAGAGGACUAAUCUGAAUUUCAACAUUUGUGCUAUGGCUGUUUAUGGCCCAUUUUAGCCCAUUUUGCACUAUGCAUAAUGUAGAGCAUUGAAUUCGUAAAUAAAAUAACUAUGGUAAUUUCAUGCGAUUUCACUAUAAAUCAGGUUUCAGCUCUACUUGGCUCUGAUGGUACAUGUAACGUUUGAAACUGAAACUAAAAAAAUGAUAUUUCUUGACACAGUCUCACCAUGCAAGAGAUGGAUUUUCCUCUCCAGGAAACAAAUGAACAAAAAGAGCAUUCAAUAUGUAAUUACCUGUCAUAGACACAGUCACACCGGUGAAGGGAAUUCAAUAUGCAAUCGUGACACUUCCGGCAUAAUGUGAUGGAAAUAAGUGUUUGUUUCGGUAGGUGGAGGGGGAGGGGGGUGUAGGUUAGUGUGUGUGUGCAUGUAGUUUAGUGGUUUGUUGGCGCCAGAGAAAUUGCAUCUAGUUGUUCAUUAUGACCAACCGUUGAAGAAAAUGAAGGCAUGGGGAGAUGUUUCGUUUCAUGGACCAAAAACAUUGUUUGUGAUACUUAAGUUUAUCUCAGACAUUUCAAAAUCUCUCUCUCUCUCCCUCUCUCACUCUUUGUAAUGGUUGUGUGAGUCUCACUCAAUAUUUCUCAUUCUUAUUAACUGCAUGGGUGCAAUUUAUUUUCCUCUCAGGCAAUGGAGGUGGUUGGGAAUGUAGGAGACUCUGGUCGACGCUGAUAAGCCCACGCUCACAUACAGGCCUGCAGGAGAGAGCAGAUUUACCAGGAAGACAAUGUCCACUAGGUCACAUGCGUGCGCAUACACAUGGACACAUGAGAGCCGAGCAAAGCAGCAGGAUGAUAAGGGAGAAAAACGACAGUGCACACUGUGGAGUCAGGAGCACAGAGACGUCUAUAAACUAAAAGAAGCACUGCACUGUCGGAAUAUGACAGCCAAUCCAUCAGGGAAAUGGAAGCUCUGUCUACUGCACCAAGGAGAGAGUGGGCAGAACUUUUAUAAAUAGUCACGCAUUUUUAAGGGAAAUUGAAAGUUGUCAGACAUAUGCUUUCUGGUCUUUCUGUUGAUCAUCCAAGUGGCCACGCUGGCUGAAUAUGACUGAAACAUCAAAGCAUACAAAGUAGGAAGGUUGUAGGCUAAUGUAUGGAAGGGCAUGAGUGGAUGAUUUUAUAUGUGGCCUUGUUCGGUCUGGGGUUCGGUCUGAUGAAAAGCUAAUAAUUCAUUAAAUCAAAUGUAACAUUAAUAAAAAAAAAU